AAUGCGAGGGGAUUUCACAACGCCGUGGAAUCAAGGGCAUCCUCGCACCAUCUACGUGCUUGCUCCCUUUCUAAUUUUGGCCCUGUCAUCUCUGUUCCUUCCACGGUGGGAACACGCGCUCCCUUCCCCGCAGCGUUUCUGAGCUGGGUCAGGCUGGUAUGAGCACAGGGAGGCGAGGAGUCCGGGUACCUUUUUGGAUGAGAUGUGUGUCUACCUUCUCCGCUCACACCUCUGUGGCUGUAGUCACCUCCCUGAACCAUCUUACGGUGGGCACAGGCUCCAGCUGUCAAUUUUUUGCACAGUGUGCUCAUACCUGCCUGGCAGCAUCGCCUCUGGAGCAGGUCUCAGGACCCUCAGAAACAGAGCAGAGAGCUGAAGCUAGGGAGAGGCUAGCACAGAGUGCCACCAGGCCUCCUGGCCAUGGGCAAGCAGGGUUCGCUGUCCCUUGGUCACCAUCAGCCGGCAGCAGGAGCCCAGCCCAUCCUUGCUGGGGGCUGGAUGUCCUCACAGGCAGCUGGGAGACCCCUGCCCUGAACCUGUGUGGCUGGAGGUGGUGGGGCAGCAGCACGGCACAGCUGUGGAGAGCAACCUCUCGUUAUCUCAACAGCAUCACCUGGCAGGGCAUCCCCUUCACAGAGAGCAGCGGGUGGAGGUGGCAGGACACCAGCAGCCCCUCGACCGGUUUGGUAGAGGCUCCUCAGCCUUCUCCUGUUGCUGCCCCGGUGCCUGCGAGCUCCAGACAGAAAGGCAGACAGGGAAUUUGCUCCAGGCGCUUGCAGAUGCAAGCUCUGCUGCACUGGGCUUGCUGGGGAUGACACUCACCGUGCCCUGCUAAAGAUGGGAUUGGAGUCAGUUGCAGAAACCUGGGAGAUUCCCUCCCUUGGGCUAGACUGUGCAAACUCGCCCCGAAGAAACCAUUGUUUCUUGAAAGCCUCUGUAAGCUCCCUGUCCCCAGCUCCCCAGCCCAGCUCAGCAUUUUGGGCGAGUUAUGAAACAGGGCAGAUGCUGGAGCACAGCAUUUGUAUUAUCCGCCAGCAAAUGACUGGAUGUGAUAAACACUUGGCUCUCCCGUGCAGGGACAGGGUGAGGGCUGUUCCUUGCCGCGGGGGAAAUGACAUUACAGGUUUGCAAGAGCUGGGCACUUUGUUGUGCAGAAGCCAUCUGACGCUGACAGCCUGUCAUUGAUUUGCGAAAACAUCGUUUGGCAUCGAUAACAAGCGUUCAGGAGAAACAAGUAGGACACAGAAAAGCAACACCCAGGUAUUGCUUCGCUGUUCCCUAUCCAGACUGGAAGCGCACAGACGUGUCUCCACUCUGAAAACAAGCACAGGAGAAGCAGAAAAUCCUCCUCCGUGUUCCUGGACAUUGGCAGAGGUCUUGGGCAGCGCUCACCCAGGCUGGCCUCCCCUGGGCAUGCCCUAAAUGUCUGAGUUGUUUGGGUGAUGGAGCAGAGCGAAGCUGCUGCAUCGCUUGGGUGAGACAUUGGGAACCUUGGGGAGGGGAAGCCGAGGGUAAUUAGGCUCUAGUUGCUCUAGGUCUGAGUCUCAUUAACAGAGUUUGGGUUUCUGCUGCUGGGGUUCACUGGAGAAGCACCCUGGAGCAGCAGCAGGUGUACAAAGCUCACCCUACCCAGGAACACGCCCCGUGCUUUCUGAUAUUGCUCUUGUUCCCAUGAAAACCAACGUGCGGCAUUGCUGCGGCCACCUGCGUGUUCACAAACGCCAGGGAAACACAAAACCUGAUGAAUGGGAAUGAAAUAAAGUGCGUUCGGUGUCCUCCUGCUGCUUUCGAGGAGGGACCCAGCAUCUGUGAGCUGCCAGCACCGGGUCUAAGCUCAGCUAGACCCCAGGCACUGGUCCCUUGAGGGAUGGAGGAACCCUCCCAAGUCCUCUCUGCUGCGGGGAGUUUUUGGGAGUUUUGUCCAGCAGUGCAGAGGAACGUGGUCCUCCAGCCGUGUGUCCUUGUCCCAUGCCCAGGACCUGGUGACAAGGGAUCCCAGGGAUCCUCUGUCCAGGGCGCCCUCCCCUUGGCCUCCCUCCUGAAGGGGUUUGUGCCUCUCCUCCUCUAUCAGCCUCUAGUGGCUCGGCAGGAGCUUUGCCAGCACUUGCUGUGAAACUGAGUCUCCCAGCACCAGGGGGUCUGGUUCUCUGCAAAGGACCCUCUGCAGCCUGGCUUGGCAGAGAGAAACCUCUCCUUCAGAGUCACAACCCAGCGUGUGAUUUCUCACAUAGCCAGGUUCUCUUGCAGUCUUCUUGCUAAAAGUCCUCGCUUCUGCCCCCGCUGCCCCAAGCCACUUGCAGAGAUUGCCCCAAAGCUUUGCCGGGUGCCUGUCCUGAUUUAUACUCGGAUUUUAUACUGCUGCUGCCAAAGGGUCCACGACCUGUGCAGGCAGAGGAAGUUUUUGCACAGGGAGAGUUGGACAGAGGGAGAUGGGAGCAUCUCCACGGGGCCAGGGUGGUGGCUGGACCCCUAGGGACCGGGCAUGGUGGGCAGCGUUGUGCCACUGACCCAUGGUGUGUGCAACGCUGCCUCUUGCUAACAGGGCUGUCCCCAGGCUCUUGGCACUGGGACACCAUUUCGAUCCAUCUUAAACCAAGAGAAAUAACACAAAACAAGUUGAGCGGGCUGCACGGGAGCUCCUCCAGCCUAUGAGCACCGUUUCCUAGCGAGACGCACAGCCCCAUAUCCAUGGCCCCGUUGCGAGGGGGCG